rnacentral:rRNA from 1 species
CAGCAGCCACGGUAAUACGGAGGGAGCUAGCGUUGUUCGGAAUUACUGGGCGUAAAGCGCGCGUAGGCGGUUAUUCAAGUCAGAGGUGAAAGCCCGGGGCUCAACCCCGGAACUGCCUUUGAAACUAGAUGGCUAGAAUCUUGGAGAGGUCAGUGGAAUUCCGAGUGCAGAGGUGAAAUUCGUAGAUAUUCGGAAGAACACCAGUGGCGAAGGCGACUGACUGGACAAGUAUUGACGCUGAGGUGCGAAAGCGUGGGGAGCAAACAGGAUUAGAUACCCCAGUAGUCCCUGUCUCUUAUAC